CCCUACGGGGUGCACCAGGCAGAAGGCAGACACAAGAACAAGAACACUACAAUCAGUAAACAAAUACGCGUUUUCAUGGGUUUCUCCUUUUUUGUGAUUAUAUCCGUUAUUUGAUUUUACAUCUUCUUCUAUGCGGAUGCCAGGCAAAGUUUUUUAUUUCAUUUUCUUGAUUUUACUAUUUCAAUACGCUAUUGAUACGGCAUUUCGGAAAAGUUGACAAAUGCGCUGAUAAAUCGGUCGGUUUUUACACUGCAUUUUGCGCGAAGCGUGAUGGGAGUAAAAAUGCAAAUCAACUUCUAUAUGAAACAUAAACUUAUUCGCAAUUCGGUACGGCAUUUUGCGGAGACGGAGCUGGCGCCGAUUGCCUCUGAAGUUGACCGCGAUGCAAUUUUUCCCAGUGCUGUUAUCAAUAAAAUGAAGCAACUCAACUAUUUCGGUCUGCAAAUUCCCCAAGAGUUUGGCGGGGGAGC
rnacentral:rRNA from 1 species